rnacentral:rRNA from 1 species
GAUUGAACGCUGGCGGCAGGCCUAACACAUGCAAGUCGAGCGGUAGCACAGAGAGCUUGCUCUCGGGUGACGAGCGGCGGACGGGUGAGUAAUGUCUGGGAAACUGCCUGAUGGAGGGGGAUAACUACUGGAAACGGUAGCUAAUACCGCAUAACGUCGCAAGACCAAAGUGGGGGACCUUCGGGCCUCAUGCCAUCAGAUGUGCCCAGAUGGGAUUAGCUGGUAGGUGGGGUAACGGCUCACCUAGGCGACGAUCCCUAGCUGGUCUGAGAGGAUGACCAGCCACACUGGAACUGAGACACGGUCCAGACUCCUACGGGAGGCAGCAGUGGGGAAUAUUGCACAAUGGGCGCAAGCCUGAUGCAGCCAUGCCGCGUGUGUGAAGAAGGCCUUCGGGUUGUAAAGCACUUUCAGCGGGGAGGAAGGCGGUGAGGUUAAUAACCUCAUCGAUUGACGUUACCCGCAGAAGAAGCACCGGCUAACUCCGUGCCAGCAGCCGCGGUAAUACGGAGGGUGCAAGCGUUAAUCGGAAUUACUGGGCGUAAAGCGCACGCAGGCGGUCUGUCAAGUCGGAUGUGAAAUCCCCGGGCUCAACCUGGGAACUGCAUUCGAAACUGGCAGGCUAGAGUCUUGUAGAGGGGGGUAGAAUUCCAGGUGUAGCGGUGAAAUGCGUAGAGAUCUGGAGGAAUACCGGUGGCGAAGGCGGCCCCCUGGACAAAGACUGACGCUCAGGUGCGAAAGCGUGGGGAGCAAACAGGAUUAGAUACCCUGGUAGUCCACGCUGUAAACGAUGUCGAUUUGGAGGUUGUGCCCUUGAGGCGUGGCUUCCGGAGCUAACGCGUUAAAUCGACCGCCUGGGGAGUACGGCCGCAAGGUUAAAACUCAAAUGAAUUGACGGGGGCCCGCACAAGCGGUGGAGCAUGUGGUUUAAUUCGAUGCAACGCGAAGAACCUUACCUGGUCUUGACAUCCACAGAACUUUCCAGAGAUGGAUUGGUGCCUUCGGGAACUGUGAGACAGGUGCUGCAUGGCUGUCGUCAGCUCGUGUUGUGAAAUGUUGGGUUAAGUCCCGCAACGAGCGCAACCCUUAUCCUUUGUUGCCAGCGGUUAGGCCGGGAACUCAAAGGAGACUGCCAGUGAUAAACUGGAGGAAGGUGGGGAUGACGUCAAGUCAUCAUGGCCCUUACGACCAGGGCUACACACGUGCUACAAUGGCAUAUACAAAGAGAAGCGACCUCGCGAGAGCAAGCGGACCUCAUAAAGUAUGUCGUAGUCCGGAUUGGAGUCUGCAACUCGACUCCAUGAAGUCGGAAUCGCUAGUAAUCGUAGAUCAGAAUGCUACGGUGAAUACGUUCCCGGGCCUUGUACACACCGCCCGUCACACCAUGGGAGUGGGUUGCAAAAGAAGUAGGUAGCUUAACCUUCGGGAGGGCGCU